GUCUACGGCCAUACCACCCUGAACGCGCCCGAUCUCGUCUGAUCUCGGAAGCUAAGCAGGGUCAGGCCUGGUUAGUACUUGGAUGGGAGAAAUAGAUUUGAGCAAACAACCAUACCCUUGACU
rnacentral:rRNA from 1 species